rnacentral:lncRNA from 1 species
UGACUUCUGGGGGAGAGCCCUUAGUUCUUUUGUGUUUCCCUGGUAUCUGUGUAUCUGAUUGCUUCCAUUUUAACUGUAUCUUAAGUCCUUUCUGGGAGAGCAACUUAUAAUUAAAAUGAUUACUAAUUGUGUGUUUUUUAAUUAGCUGACGCCUAAUGAGAAAUUACAAAACAAUUUGGUCCCUGCAGGGAGAUGAGUGACCAGAGAAUAAUUGCUAUCUCGGGACAGUGUUCUUUAUAUUUAGCUCCCUUUCUGCAAACAAGAGCUCAUACAAUUAUAGCUUAUUUAGAGCACGAUGGAGUAUAAACAGGAGAGAAAACAAGACAGUCAGAUUUACCCUGCUGUUUCUCAUAGUCUUACACGCAGACAAGGCCAGGAAAAUCAAGCGGGGUCUGAGACAUCUGCUCAGGACCCGCCCAAAUUCAGCUUGGCCAGGCAACAGCAUCUAGAAAUUCUACAGACCUAGAGCCCCUGUAGAUGCCUGGUGAUGCUGAAAAUAACCCAAGCCUCAGAGGAAAGAUCACAUUGGGAGGCAAUUAUCUGACCCUGUUGGUUUUCAGGGCUGCUAUUAACACUGCAAAGCACUUGCUUUGUUCCCUCGCAUCUUCUCUUUCCCAGCCAGCUCCAGUCCUCAUUAGCCAAGGUCCUUCUUACGAGAUGAUAAAUGAGAGGAGAAUCCAUUUGAAAUGAAUGAACAUUAUCAAGACAUGCGUGCUUAGUGACUUGCCUGCAAAUGUCAUGUCUGUGUGUGCAAGGAAUUCAUUAUAGCACCCAUUUUAAUGUAGUCUGAUCAAUGCAGGGACUCACCUUGCUCAUACGGAAGCAGAGGCAGAUCCCAGCCUGAGGUGAUAGUGCAUCUGACGUCAUCAGAGUAUGAUUCCCCAAGGCUGCCAUCUUUGACCUUGCUUACAGAUACUUUUGUGAAGGAGCAACCCAUAGCAUGCUUUCAGGGAACCUGGAAGAACUCGAAUUCCCAACACCUUCACCCUCCGUGUAUAUGGUCCAGAUUUCUCCACCUGGCCACCAGUGCUGUGAUCAUCAGUUCCAUCCAGGAAAGCAACGUGGAGCCAGAGAGAGACAGGCAUCCUUAAAGUGGGCCAGGAAUGAGCUCAUUUUGGAACCAGAUGAGGGAAGUUUGCCUUCCUGGAAACAGCGGCACUUGGCGGACAGGCUGUCGGUGGAAGCGAUGACUCAGUUGUGAGUUGCAUGCUUGCCAGAAGUUUGUCUCUUUGAACUAAUUAUUGUCUACCAAAAAAUGACAGGCAUUGUAAAAUAAUGGGGGAAAAAACCCUCAAUUCAAGGACACACGUCAACUUGGGGCAAUUAACAUUCUGAAAGGUCCAUUAGUGUGGGAGGCUUGGGAAAAAUCUUUUCUUAUAAACUCCUAAUCAUAUUAGGCAUUUCAGAAACAGAGUUAAGAGGGAGGGAGUCAUAUGUUGGUUACACAGCACUUCCUGAAUAAAGUGUGUCCCCAGAGACCAGAAUCAGAACUUGGGAGAGUGUCUGGUUUUGGAAAAUAUAUGCUUUUCUCAAAUUGCUAGUGUGUGGUUUGUGGUGUGUGUGUGUGUGUGAGAGAGAGAGAGAGAGAUGAAGGGAAAAAGAAGCACUAUUUGUCUCUGUGUGUGAACAUAUGUCAAUUUCCUUCCUAAAGCACAGGAUAGAAUAAAUAAAGAGUUUUUUAAAUCUAAUGACGAUAUUAUAUUUUAGUCUAGCAUGUAUAUCUGGAAAAUAGAUUCUAAGGAUUAGAAGGCAGUCCUGAGAAUUUGGGGUAUUUGCAGGUAUGCCAUACCCCGUGUAAUCUGAAUGAUUUAUUUUUUUUCUUCCCUGGAUUCCUAUGCCCUGAUUCUGGGACUAAUCUGAUUUUCCAUGGUCAGACCACCCCCACAUCACAGUGACUAUCAAUGCCCUCCAGGGUGGGAAUCUGACCCAAGUCUAGCCAAUCACUACAUUCUAUCAAAUUGGCAGUGGUGAUUAGCUCUGUGUGGUCACGCGACCCAGCGGAGUCCCACUUGCUGUGUCCUGCCAAGGGACAAAGGCAGUGGGAAGUAAAGCAUCUCUGCACACCAUAGGCUUCCACAUGGUGAUGUCAACCUGCCCUUGGCAUUUGCCCCAGCCCAGCGCUAUGGAGCCUAGUCUGUCUCAGGCUAUCAGAUUUGGGUUAGAAGCCAGUUUCUGAUGUAGUAGGUGGUAAAGGUUCCAACACCAAUGAUGUACAGCCCUGUUUUCUC